rnacentral:rRNA from 1 species
GUGCCAGCAGCCGCGGUAAUACGUAUGGGGCAAGCGUUAUCCGGAUUCAUUGGGCGUAAAGAGCGCGUAGGCGGCUUGUUAAGUCAGAUGUGAAACCUGGGGGCUCAACCCGCAGCGUGCAUCUGAAACUGGCAGGCUUGAGUCUGGUAGAGGAAAGUGGAAUUCCCAGUGUAGCGGUGAAAUGCGCAGAUAUUGGGAGGAACACCAGUGGCGAAGGCGGCUUUCUGGGCCACGACUGACGCUGAGGCGCGAAAGCUAGGGGAGCAAACAGGAUUAGAUACCCCAGUAGUCC